GACUCUCGGCAACGGAUAUCUCGGCUCUCGCAUCGAUGAAGAACGUAGCGAAAUGCGAUACUUGGUGUGAAUUGCAGAAUCCCGUGAACCAUCGAGUCUUUGAACGCAAGUUGCGCCCGAAGCCGUCAGGCUGAGGGCACGCCUGCCUGGGUGUCACGC
rnacentral:rRNA from 1 species